UACGUAGGGUGCAAGCGUUAAUCGGAAUUACUGGGCGUAAAGCGUGCGUAGGUGGUGAGUUAAGUCUGAUGUGAAAUCCCCGGGCUCAACCUGGGAAUGGCAUUGGAUACUGGCUCGCUAGAGUGCGGUAGAGGGUGGUGGAAGUUCCCGGUGUAGCAGUGAAAUGCGUAGAGAUCGGGAGGAACACCUGUGGCGAAAGCGGCUCACUGGACCACAACUGACGCUGAUGAGCGAAAGCGUGGGGAGCAACAGG
rnacentral:rRNA from 1 species